rnacentral:rRNA from 1 species
GGCUCGAAAGUGUGGGUAUCAAACAGGAUUAGAUACUCUGGUAGUCCACACGGUAAACGAUGAAUACUCGCUGUUUGCGAUAUUCGGCAAGCGGCCAAGCGAAAGCGUUAAGUAUUCCACCUGGGGAGUACGCCGGCAACGGUGAAACUCAAAGGAAUUGACGGGGGCCCGCACAAGCGGAGGAACAUGUGGUUUAAUUCGAUGAUACGCGAGGAACCUUACCCGGGCUUAAAUUGCAGAUGAAUUACGGUGAAAGCCGUAAGCCGCAAGGCAUCUGUGAAGGUGCUGCAUGGUUGUCGUCAGCUCGUACCGUGAGGUGUAGGGUUAAGUGCCAUAACGAGCGCAACCCUUGUUGUCAGUUAAUAACAGGUUCCGAUGAGGACUCUGACAAGACUGCCAUAGUAAGAUGUGAGGAAGGUGGGGAUGACGUCAAAUCAGCACGGUCUUUACGUCCGGGGCUACACAAGUGUUACAAUGGGGGGUACAGAGGGCCGAUACCACGCGAGUGGAUGCCAAUCCCAAAAACCUAUCUCAGUUUGGAAUGGAGUCUGCAACCCGACUCCACGAAGCGGGAUUCGCUAGUAAUCGCGCAUCAUCCACGGCGCGGGGAACUACGUUCCCGGGCCUUGUUCACACCGCCCGUCAAGCCAUGGGAGCCGGGGGUACCUGAAGUGCGUAACCGCGAGGAGCGCCCUA